rnacentral:rRNA from 1 species
GGGGGUAGAGCACUGUUUUGGCUAGGGGGACAUGGAGUCUUACCAAACCAAGGCAAACUCCGAAUACCUGGAAGCGUGAGCACGGGAGACAGAGCACCGGGUGCUAACGUCCGGACUCAAAAGGGAAACAACCCAGACCGCCGGCUAAGGUCCCAAAUAACAGCUAAGUGGAAAACGAAGUGGAAAGGCCGUGACAACCAGGAAGUUGGCUUAGAAGCAGCCAUCCUUCAAAGAAAGCGUAAUAGCUCACUGGUCGAGUCCUUCUGCGCGGAAGAUGUAACGGGGCUAAGCUGUUAACCGAAGCCGCGGAUGCGCUGGUUAUCCAGUGCGUGGUAGGGGAGCGUUCUGUAAGUCUGCGAAGGCGGUUCGAGAGGACUGCUGGAGAUAUCAGAAGUGCGAAUGCUGACAUGAGUAACGUUAAAGCAGGUGAAAAGCCUGCUCGCCGUAAGCCCAAGGAUUCCUGCUCUACGUUCAUCGGAGCAGGGUGAGUCGGCUCCUAAGGUCAGGCCGAAAGGCGUAGCCGAUGGGAAUCAGGUUAAUAUUCCUGAACCUGCGUCAGAUGCGAUGGGGGGACGGAGCAUGGAAGAUCAUCCGGGUGUUGGAAGUCCCGGUUGUUUAGCGUAGGAGGUCUGCAGGCAAAUCCGCAGACGCAUCUCCAAGGCAAAGACACGUGCCGCCACGGCGGCGAAGUGAUCGGAAGUGCUUCCAAGAAAAGCCUCUAAGCUUCAGUCUGAUGCGGACCGUACCGCAAACCGACACUGGUGGGCGAGCUGAAUAUGCUCAGGCGCUUGAGAGAACUCGGGAGAAGGAACUCGGCAAAUUGACACCGUAACUUCGGAAGAAGGUGUGCCGUAGUACCGUGAGAGGAGAGACACCUUGAGCGAGAAACGGUCUCAGAGAAUAGGUGGCUGCGACUGUUUAUUAAAAACACAGCACUCUGCAAAGUCGAAAGACGACGUAUAGGGUGUGAUGCCUGCCCGGUGCUGGAAGAUUAAUUGAUGGGGUGAGAGCCCUUGAUCGAAGUCCCAGUAAACGGCGGCCGUAACUAUAACGGUCCUAAGGUAGCGAAAUUCCUUGUCGGGUAAGUUCCGACCUGCACGAAUGGCAUAACGAUGGCCACACUGUCUCCUCCCGAGACUCAGUGAAGUUGAAAUGUUUGUGAUGAUGCAAUCUACCCGCGGCUAGACGGUAAGACCCCAUGAACCUUUACUGCAGCUUUGCAUUGAACUGUGAACCGAUUUGUGUAGGAUAGGUGGGAGGCAGAGAAGAGGCCACGCCAGUGGCCUUGGAGCCGACCUUGAAAUACCACCCUGAUUUGUUUGCGGUUCUAACCACGGACAGUGAUCCUGUCUUGGGACCGUGCAUGGUAGGCAGUUUGACUGGGGCGGUCUCCUCCUAAAGGGUAACGGAGGAGUACGAAGGUACGCUAGGUACGGUCGGAAAUCGUGCUGAUAGUGCAAUGGCAAAAGCGUGCUUGACUGCGAGAGCAACAACUCGAGCAGAUGCGAAAGCAGGUCAUAGUGAUCCGGUGGCUCUGAAUGGAAGGGCCAUCGCUCAACGGAUAAAAGGUACUCUGGGGAUAACAGGCUGAUACCGCCCAAGAGUUCAUAUCGACGGCGGUGUUUGGCACCUCGAUGUCGGCUCAUCUCAUCCUGGGGCUGUAGUCGGUCCCAAGGGUAUGGCUGUUCGCCAUUUAAAGAGGUACGUGAGCUGGGUUUAAAACGUCGUGAGACAGUUUGGUCCCUAUCUGCCGUGGGCGUUGGAAGAUUGACGGGGGCUGCUCCUAGUACGAGAGGACCGGAGUGGACGCACCUCUGGUGUACCGGUUGUCACGCCAGUGGCAUUGCCGGGUAGCUAAGUGCGGAAGAGAUAACCGCUGAAAGCAUCUAAGCGGGAAACUUGCCUGAAGAUGAGUCUUCCCGGAGGUUGAACCUCCCUCAAGAGUCGUCCGAGACCAGGACGUCGAUAGGUCAGGUGUGUAAGCGCUGUAAGGCGUUGAGCUAACUGAUACUAAUUGCUCGUGAGGCUUGAUCCU